rnacentral:lncRNA from 1 species
ACAAAAUCGACAUUGACUCAGCAGCUGUGCCCACCAGUUUUUCAGUACCUGAGUUCAUCUUGGUUUGCUAAACUGAUCCUUAGAUGCCAGAUGCAGAAUCCCUGGUGGCACUACUAUACAAAGAUUUUUUUUCUUGGUAGGAACUAUCAGAGAUUGAGGUUUUCUGCUAAAGCCUUUGAGAAUCACGCCUCCACUCCAUAAUAGAGAAGAUUUAAACAGGCCCUUACCACUCUUCUGCCUUGUUCCAAGAUGGAAGGAUCUGGAUAAAGAAAAUAAUGGAAUUUUGCAAAAGUUUAUGGUGGUCUCCAGUCCCUGGAUUCAUCUCACUUGUGAAGAUGGACACACAAGUUAUUCUUCAAACAAUAUUUCUGCUACUGUAUUCUCUUGGUUCUGCUUAUUUCACUCUCAUAAUUCCAUGUAGUUCUUUACAUGUUUUUGUUAACCUGCUUAUCAUUUCUUAUGGCACACAGUCAUAUAUUACAACUUGUUUAACCAUUCUCCAAUUAAUUGGCAUCCACUCUUUUUUUCUAGUUCUUUGCUGCCACAAAGACAGAUUCUAUAAAUACCUGAACAUAUAUGUUCUUUUCCUUUUUCCCUGA